rnacentral:rRNA from 1 species
GAAAAGUGCAAGCGUUGUUCGGAUUUACUGGGCGUAAAGAGAUCGUAGGUGGUUUGUUAAGUCGGAUGUGAAAUCCCAGGGCUCAACCCUGGAACUGCAUUCGAUACUGGCAGACUAGAGUUUGGGAGGGGUAAGCGGAAUUCCGUGUGUAGCAGUGAAAUGCGUAGAUAUACGGAGGAACACCUGAGGCGAAGGCGGCUUACUGGACCAAUACUGACACUGAGGAUCGAAAGCGUGGGUAGCAAACAGGAUUAGAUACCCUGGUAGUCCACGCCCUAAACGAUGUCAACUAGCCGUUGCGGGUAUCGACCCCUGCAGUNNNNNNNNAACGCGAUAAGUUGACCGCCUGGGGAGUACGGUCGCAA